UGUCAUUUCCAUUCUCCCUUUGCAAUUACUGAUGGUAUCUUCUGAAGCCAGAAUGGGAGAAAAGCCUGCUCAGGAUUGCAGCCAAAACCCAGUGUGAGAGGGGAAGGGCUGAAAUCAGGAUGCUAGAAGCACAAGUUUGCAAAGAGACGGGGGAGGAUCACAGAGAGAAUAGGAGAAAGUUUGGGGUUGUUAGUAGCUCUGAAUUUCUCAGAUAUGUCAGAGUUUAUGACAAAUAGAAACAAGAUGGUCCUGCAGGACCAUCUUCAAGACUGUUGGUGAGGCUCUUGACACAACAUCUGCCCAUUCCUUAUUCGACCCCUGUGAACAAGUCUAACAUGUUGAACUUGCUGCUGGUGUAUAGUGAUAGUCACAUUGCAGGUACAGUGAAUUUAGUGUCCCUGAGAGGAAGGAUCUGCAUACACCUGCAGUAGGUUUAAGGCAUCUGGUGCUGAGCUAGUGGCUGUGUGUCUGCAAGUCUGCUCAAUCUAGUUUUAAAUGGGCAGCGGGAGUACAACGGAGUUGGUGGACUGGCCUCUCUCCUCUGUUAGCGUGCUGUUAGAUUGGUUUUACUGUAACAUGAAACUGCACCGUGAGUCAGGAACCUCUGAGUGCUAAUAAUGGCUCUGAUACCAACUCCACCUGUGGCAGCAGUCAGCCUGGUCAGCUGCAGGGUUGGUAUCGGUGAAGUGUGCUUAGUAGUAACUAGGUUCUGGAGGGCACUCCAAUGUUCAAUUAGAUAAUGUUUACCAAGUAUUAAUUAUUUUAAUUUUCUAAGUGCUGAUUAAAAACGCCUGAAUGUUGAAUCAUCAUGUUGUAAUUGUGUACUGUCACAUAUCCCAAAGGUGACAUUCAUGCAAUAAACAAGAGGGCAAGGUUUAUUAUCCAAAAAUCAAGAAAGCUCAGCAUGUGCCCAAAGUAUCUUACUGAAAGUAAACCUUGUUAUCACAAUGCAGUUAUUUGUUGUUGAGAAGAGAUGCUCUGAUUUGGAAGAGCUGUCUUCUCUCCCAUGGAUAUAAUCAGCUAUGAUUCAGUUCUGCAUAUGUAAAAUACAUGUGUUCGCCCUGUCAAGAAGCAACAUCUGACUGGACAUGCCUUUAUUAUUUAUUCUGUGUUACGGUUUUACUGCUGAAAUAGCCACUUGCAGAGAUAGCAGUAGGAAUUCAGAAGACCCCAAUAGUAACCACCUUGAAAAAGGCCAGUACCUCUAGCUGCAGCCAAGUAACUGACUGCUAGCAGUCCCAAUUGACAGCUGCAUUCCUCCUGAUAUUUGUUUCAUUAUAUUCUCUAAAGAGAGUACCAAUAGCAGUUGAAUUUGUAUUUGGAUAACUGGAAAGUUAGCUGUGCACUGACCCCUCAUUUGAUUUUGUUCUUUGUGUAUAUCUGUGUGAAAUUUAGAAUUUAAUGCCACAGAGGAUGGAAGGGUGUAAAAGCAUUUAGACGUUCACAGCAACUACCCAGGCACAAUGUACACACAGACAAUUCCUGUUUCAUGGUGCAUCAAUUUUCAAAUCCUUAACUGGAUGGGAACUGCUGCAUCAUGGCCUGAACCUCUGAUUGACCACCUGAGGCAAGCACUGUGUCAGCCAGAGGAGCACAGCUGAAGGCAAUUCGCCUGUGCUGCCGGAAGGGGUGGAGCCUGGCUGCACCUCUCCUAGAGCCAUUUAAGAGCUGACUGCAACCUGAGGUAGUGUUUUUUCUUGGGGUUCUGCUUGUGGGGUUUUGUAGUGUGUUGUGGGUGUUGAAGUGAACUUCAGGGACCUCUGGAUAUUUUUUUUUAUUUUUUUUUUUUUCCCCAGUGUGGAAUGUUUGCACAUUGUUUUGACUGCAUCUAACCUACGUUGCAUGAUGGAGAAAACCAGCUUAGUUCCAGCCUCAGCAGGUCUGUUCAGUAGGAAAAUAACAUUGUCAGGAACAGCAUCUGAAAGGUGGUCGUGGAUUUUCAAGUUGCAGAGCAAGAGGUACUGAGUUGUGAUGCUCUUCAUUACUUGCUGGAAGCUGGAUCACCUCUGCACUAUAGAAAGAAAUUAAAUUCCUUUUCUUUUAAUUAUACUGUUAUAACCCCCUUACUCCAGUGUUCGUAUAGGAAUAUAUUAGUAAUGGAAAAUACAAUUAUAAAAUCUCUUGAGUUCAUGCAUGAAUAAAACCGUCAAGUAAGACAAAGUGUUAAUAAAAUCUUAUAUAACUUAGGGAAUACUACUGUAAUAACACUGAAUGAAGAAAAAGCCGUACAUAACUAAAAUAAAGUAAUAUAAUAAAAAUAACGUAACCCAAGUUGUGUUACUUAAUUAAAAACUUUUCCCUUAAUGUCAUUUGCUUAUGUUCUGUUUCCACCAGAGGUCAGAUUCAUCCCUGGUGUGACUUUGAGUGAGUCUUAACAGAUGGAUUUCUGCCUUUGAUGAGGACUACUCAGAAUUUUUUGGUGCUGUGCUGCUAAAGCUCUGAGCAUCCUCUCUUGUCAGUGGCAUUAACCUGUUCUAUAACUCUUAAGGCUUCUUAGCAUAUGUCCCUGCUUGC